UUAAGGUAUUGAGCAGUGCACGAGUCAAGCAUGCUACAAUGACUGCAAAGUUGUAAAAUAGGAAAACUGCUUCAUCUCAAGAAAAGAAAAUUUGCUGGACAAAAGUUUUAAGGGUAGAGUGCACUUCUGGGGACCUUGGUUAUAGAAAGCACAUUUCAGGUAAAGUGAAAUUUCAGUUUUAAUACAUUACAACACAACCCAUUUUUGGUCCUUCAGUUAAAAUAAAAUAUGACUCCCCACCAAACUACCUCGAUGCACGCUACAAGCUUCAGUCCAGCCCAUAUGAUUUAUCAAAAACUGUAGUUCCAACAGGCCAAGGCAACUGAAAGUGAAAAACCAUGAGUGGACAAGGAGACAGGCAUGAUCCAUAGAUUUCUUAUUCAGUGAUUGCAUAGAGGAGCUCUAUUUCAUCCGGAGCUACAGCUUUUGGGUAUUAUUCUUUUGUGUACAUACAUAUGGGCAUGGCAGGGUCCUGUCCCGCCUAUACUAUGUCACCUACUCUUCUUAGAGGCUCGUAGACAGUUGUGUAUGGUUAGAUGUCUUGUAGCCCUGUCGGCUCAUAUUUUGUAUAUCAUUUUGAUACCCUCGUCGGCUUGUGUAUAUGGAUAUGGGCAUUUGUUAUUGAUGAUGAUAUAAAUGCGUUGUUGCCCAACGAGAUUAGCACUAUUGAUGUAUGUAAAUUAUGAGUAAGCCAUGUGGUCCACCUAGAUGUGAAUGUGGAUGUACGAUAAGAGGUGCCCGGGUGGGCUAGUACCGGGUGCCGUCAUGGCCCACCAAUCGGGUCGUGACAUUUGUGGUCUUCUAUUUCAUGUAGAAUACACGUAGUGGCCAUGUCGGACUGAGUUGUUAUCCUUUGCAGGUAUAUAUAUACCUAUGUGUAUAAGUUAUGA